UACGUAGGCAGCAAGCGUUGUUCGGAGUUACUGGGCGUAGAGGGUGCGUAGGCGGUCCUAUAAGUAUGGUGUGAAAUCUCCCGGCUUAACUGGGAGGGUGCGCUAUAGACUGUGGGACUAGAGUGUGGGAGAGGAAAGUGGAAUUCCUGGUGUAGCGGUGAAAUGCGUAGAUAUCAGGAGGAACACCGGUGGUGUAAACGGCUUUCUGGACCAUAACUGACGCUGAGGCACGAAAGCGUGGGUAGCAAACAGG
rnacentral:rRNA from 1 species